rnacentral:rRNA from 1 species
AUUGAACGCUAGCGGGAUGCUUUACACAUGCAAGUCGAACGAGUGGCGGACGGGUGAGUAAUAUAUCGGAACGUGCCCAGUAGCGGGGGAUAACUACUCGAAAGAGUGGCUAAUACCGCAUACUCUUGGAGCGGCCGAUAUCGGAUUAGCUAGUUGGUGGGGUAAAGGCUCACCAAGGCAACGAUCCCGAGCUGGUUUUAGAGGACGACCCGCCAAAACGGGACUUAGACAAGGGCCAAGACCCCACGGGAGGCAGCAGUGGGGAAUAUUGGACAAUGGGGGAAACCCUGAUCCAGCCAUCCCGCGUGUAUGAGAAGGCCUUCGGGUUGUAAAGUACUUUUGGCAGAGAAGCGGUAUCUGCAGAAUAAGCACCGGCUAACUACGUGCCAGCAGCCGCGGUAAUAC